rnacentral:rRNA from 1 species
ACAACCGAGGUGCAAAGGCUGUCGCUGACCCUCAAAGGUUGUGCACGCCCGAGCGCUCUCACACAAUCCAUCUCACCUUUGUGCAUCACCGCGUGUGUCCCCUUUGCGGGAGGGCUCGCGUUUUCACAUAAUAACUCGAUACAGUGUAGAAUGUUUCUUUUGCGGUCACACGCAAUCAAUACAACUUUCAACAACGGAUCUCUUGGCUCUCGCAUCGAUGAAGAACGCAGCGAAAUGCGAUACGUAAUGUGAAUUGCAGAAUUCAGUGAAUCAUCGAAUCUUUGAACGCACCUUGCGCCCCUUGGCAUUCCGAGGGGCACACCCGUUUGAGUGUCGUGAAUUCUUCAAAACCCUUUUUUCUUCGAACCAUCGUGGUCGGGAAAAGGAUUUUUGGACUUGGAGGUUUAAUGCUCGCCCUUUCUUUUGAAAGCGAGCUCCUCUCAAAUGAAUUAGUGGGGUCCGCUUUGCUGAUCCUUGACGUGAUAAAAUGUUUCUACGUUUUGGGUUUAGCACUGUCGCUUGNAUGCCUGCUCCUAACCCGUCUCAUUGACAAUGAUGGUGCUCUGGUCACUGCCGUCUACAUCGGCGGGAGGCUGGACCCACAAAAAGAAAACCUUGA